rnacentral:lncRNA from 10 species
CUGACCGGAAGUGUGGCUGUGGGUGGUUUACCGCCAGACUGUGAUGGUGGCGGGGCACGGCUGCGUGACUGUUGUGAGAGUUUCAGCCUGGAGAGGACCACCCUGCUGGAAGGGUGUCCUGGGAAUGAAGUCCACGUAGGUGAGAACACACACCAGGGAUAUGUAGCUGGAUGGACUCAGCAGCCCUUGGGGAAUAAAGCCAGCUCAACUCAGCUGUACUUCUCACCACGUGGCAAAGGAUGGACCAAAGGCUGGGAGCAACUGGGAGUGUCUGGGACUGUGCCCCAAGGAAGCCACACAAACUGUGUAGCCAGACAGUCUGUCUGGGAGGAGAAGGAAGGAAUUUAUCUACCAGCUCCCAUCUCUCAUGGACCAAAUUCUUCCCCACUGUACAUAACUCCAUAUCACUUUCAGAUUGCAUAAGGGUGAGAGCUGAAUGUAGGCUCCAACAGGAAGACGGCAUUGAAGCCUGGUUGCUUGUUACUACUCAGAAUGCCAUCUACAAAAGGAAAUUAUGUAAAAAGCAAUAAAGAACCCCUUUUGUUCUUGCAGGAGUCAGUGUUUCAUAACUCUUUCUGUGAUAUCGUCUGUAUAAGUUGAACCUCUAAAGAACCUUAUCUAAGUUGCCACGACCUUACUCAUUACCCUCAAGAAAGAUGAACAAUUUAAAGGGGGAAAAAAGGAAGUGAAAAAAAUGGCGGAUACGAGGCAGAACUAACCUGCAGCUUCCACUCGAAGGGACAGAGCAGAGUGUGGAGACCCACAACUGGAACUUUUUCUCCAAGAACUACCACAGGAACAUACCAAGAAAGCCAAGAGAAUCCACAGAACCUUUGGAGGAAGUGGUUUGUCACUGCAGGCUCUGUGGGACAGCUGAGGAACUGCCAGCGUCCUCUUUCCUGUGUUGGUCACAUCCUCAAAUGCCUUUGGGGCUGGAUGAACAGUCGGCUUGUGGUGUCCUGAUGAGUGGCGACCUUCUCAGCGAGGACUGACAACCACACGGGUUCCUACUUCAUGACCAGACCAGGGUCACCAUGGAGACAUUUCUCAUUGGAUCAGCUUAUUAUGCCAUAGGAAACAUCUGAUUGAAAUGGAACUCACUGACCUAAAGCUCCUAAAAAAAAAUUUUCUAGGUCAGUGACAGACAAGUUGGCUGCUUCAAAAAAGGUCCUGAAAACUCAAGACAAUGGAACAAUGCCAAGCAGUAAGAUAUGGAUACAAUGAGUAAAAUCUAAAGAUUGGUUCCUUUAAGACAAAGGGAUCAACAUGUAAUAACUUGGAAAUAUAUAGCAAAGAGAGAGCCAAAGACGUCUUCUAGCCCUGCACUUUGCCUCCUACUAGAACCAGUGGGAAGAUGCUCCAGGAAGUUAGCAGAGUCAGUUACAGUUAACUGCAGCUCAGUGUAAGGAAGAAACUCAACAGUGGAGUCAUUUUGAGAGGGAAUAGGUUAUUCUGAAAAGUAGGGAGUUUCCCUUCCCUAUGGGAGUUGAAUCCAAGGUUGGAUCUUUUUUUUUUUUUUUUUUUUUUGAGAUGUGGUUUUCCUAUGUUGCCCAGGCUGGAGUGUACUGGCUAUUCACAGGCAUAAUCACAGCAUAGCACACCCUUGAACUCCUGGGCUCAAGGAUCCUCCCACCUCAGCAUCCUGAGUAGGUGGGACUACAGGUACACGCCACUGCACCUGGCCUGGAUGAUCAUUAUUAAUGAAUGUUUUGUAGAAGGGAUAUAAACAUGAGAUUGGUAGAUGAUCUGAAUGACUUUUAUGUUUGAGAGUAUUUUAUUCCAUACUCACUGUAGCCUUAUGUUCCCAAUUUUAAAUACAUAUAUAUAUACACACAUAUAUAUACACACACAGUUAUAUAUGCUAAUAUGUUACUUAUGACUAAAUAGUAUUUAUUUUUUAUGUUUCUCUAAUAUCAUUUAUAUUAAGAAAUUAAUUAAUCAAAAAAUCAAUCUUUUGUCAGACCAAAAGCUUGAAAACAAAAUAUGGCCUGUAUAACUAUAUUUCAUGGAAAAAAUAAUAAUCCAAACCAUUUCUCAGUGGCGUUUGUUCCUGGUUCCUUUUCCAGUACAUUCAUUCACUCAUGAAAAAUCAUUUUUGGGCUCAAAUGGUAGAGAAAACAAAGCCAAAAUUCUGAGCAGCAGUCCCAACCCUAGGAAGCUGUGUGGUUAUAUUAUCUAACAUCUAAAGGGCUAUUUAACCAUUCUAGGACUUGGUUUUGUCAUUUGUAAAAGGAGUGAAAUAACAGAAGCUGCCUUACAGGAUCGUUGUAAAGAUUAAUGUGUGAAUAUACGUGAGCCACUUAGAACAAUGGCUGGUACAUAGUAAGUACUAUUUGAGUGAUAGCUUUCAUUAUCAUCAUCAUUCAACAACAAUAUUGUUAUUCCAGGCUUGGGGAGCAUAAACACGAAUAGGACAGGACCUCUUUUUCUCUAAAGAUGCAUAGUCCGGCUAGAGAAAGCAUGUAGGUAAACAGUGCAGGAAGGGGAGAGAAUCACUGUAAUGGGGAAAUGUGCUAGCAACUCCAAAUGGGAGAUUGCAGAGAAGGCUGUCAGAGAAAUAGGCUGUUGAGCUGGGUUUUGAUGACUGACAAGGCAUUUUCCAGGUAGAGGAGGGAAAAGUGAUCUGGGCUGAAGGAUGUCACUUUGUGUUUAGCAAUCCUGAGGUUGCCUUAAAUCAGCCUCAAUCACUUCUGUUGAGUAGAAGCCUAUGCUUUCUGUCCUGCCCUGGUUCUUGGCUGCAGGUCACAAAACAUUUCAGUCCAUUCAAGAAUCCUUGAGAGCUCUCCUGGGGACCUCCUGGGCAAUGCAGAGGUCAGACAGCAGAGCCACAUUCUCAGGGAGAGUGGCACAGUCAAGGGAGAAGACAGGUGAAGAGAAUGUUUUCCUGUGAAGGUGGUGAGCUGAUUGCCUUAGAGAGCGUGAGCUCCUGCCUUAGAGAGCAGGUGAACUCUCUCCAAGAAAGCAAAUGGAAACAAGCAAGCAAAACACGUUUCUUUCUCUUGUGUCUACACCCCCAGCCCCCACCACCCAUGAGUAAAGUGUCUUAUCUAGGUCUUACAAUCAGCCUUCCUAUCCAAUAUUCAGAUUUAUCUGAACAUGAGACCCAACGGUAACUCUUGUCCCCCACGGCUCACGUGAUGUAAAGGCUUACCUGGAGGAUCUCGCCUAUUCAUAGCAUCUUUGUCUCCAUGUCCUUAUCAUCAUGUCCUCUUUCGGGAAGCAAAAGAAAAGACCUUUUGCUCAUUUCACUUACUUGAGGAGACUGUUUCAAAUUGCUAUUUCUAUAUGGCAAAUUUUACCUCCACCCUGACUUAACUAGGUGAGGGUAGAAAAUGAGACCUGUGGAACAGAGGAAAAGCGAAUGCAAGGGGAUGAGCGGCAGCAGCAAGAACAUCCUGGACCAUUGGGGUGAGAUCAAUGAAACCCACACUGGAGCCCAGGCCCUGAUGUCCCCUGAGCUCCUCCUCCACAGCCUGUCAACUCCUGUGUCUCUGCAGUCCUAAAUAAACAAGAAGCAGCAGGAGUUGAUUUGGGUUUAGUCAUGGAUGGCUCCCUACUCUCUCUUCGUAUUGAAGCUCAUUUUAUCCAAGAUGUUAUACAGAUGAGGGACUUACUGCUAACCUUGUUCUCAGGGAAGCUCCAAACUAAAGAAUCAAAAAAUAUGAUAAACUUGGGCCAAAAAUCCCAUCCACAGUUAUGGGAAUACCAUGACUGGGCAUAUGAGACACCUGAUUUUCAGCCUAAGGAAGCACCAUCGGCGAGACAUACAGUAUCACAAUCUGGCUAUAUUUUAUGCUCCCUUUCCAUCAGUCUGGGAUAAAUUGUGUGUGUCAAGUUCGGCAAGCAUGGGUGAGCUAAAUGGAGCUGUUAGCUGUCUUUUCAACAUAUUUAUCUGUUUCAUUGCCUACUCUAGGAUGUCUUUGUGAUCAUUAUAUAGGGAUCACAGAUAAUAGACUAUUUGAAAUCUUACUUCAAUUAAAACUUAAUCCUCAGAUGUCAAUAACAGUGUUUUAUACAUAAGGUUACAAUAAAAACAAUGUCUUUUGUGCAUAUCAUUAAAACAACAACAGAAAAUCAAGAAUAAGAAAUGGCCUGAACAUUUUCUAAAACAAGAUGCUCUACUAUGUCGUGUACCUUGUCACUGUGAUAAAAUUAUGGUUAUUUCAAUAUCUAUGCAACUUGACAAAGUCACACAGGAUUUAUAAGAAAAAAAAUC